rnacentral:rRNA from 1 species
UACGUAGGGAGCAAGCGUUGUCCGGAAUCAUUGGGCGUAAAGCGCGCGUAGGUGGCUUCGUAAGUCCGUUGUGAAAGUCAAAGGCUCAACCUUUGAAAGCCGAUGGAUACUGCGGAGCUAGAGUACGGAAGAGGCGAGUGGAAUUCCUGGUGUAGCGGUGGAAUGCGCAGAUAUCAGGAGGAACACCAAUAGCGAAGGCAGCUCGCUGGGACGUUACUGACACUGAGGCGCGAAAGUGUGGGGAGCGAACAGG